UCGGGUGGUGGACAGUGGCGCACGGGUGAGUAACACGUGGGGACCCACCUGAUAGUACGGGACAACACGGGGAAACCUGUGUUAAUACCGGAUAAGCCCUUACGGGGAAAGUUUUAAUGCCAAAAGAUGAGCCCGCAUUUGAUUAGCUAGUUGGUGAGGUAAAAGCUCACCAAGGCGAUAAUCAAUAGCUGAUUUGAGAGGAUGAUCAGCCACACUGGGACUGAGAUACGGCCCAGACUCC
rnacentral:rRNA from 1 species